GGCAUGUAAAGAAUGAUAACCUUUUAAGUGAAGUGACAUAAUAAAAUAUGACAACUUUUAGAUCAAAUAAUAAGACGGAAUGGUAGCAACCUUUCCCUCGUGGCUCCCCACUCCUAUAAAUAGGGAUAUGAGAAAGAAGGAAGAGAUAUUCCGGAUGAGACAAAAAUAAUAAAAACCAUAGAGGUGAAUGAAGAAAAUGGAGUACGAAGUGUGUG
rnacentral:lncRNA from 1 species